AUUGAACGCUGGCGGCAGGCCUAACACAUGCAAGUCGAACGGUAACAGGAAGAAGCUUGCCUCUUUUCUGACGAGUGGCGGACGGGUGAGUAAUGUCUGGAAAACUGCCUGAUGGAGGAGGAUAACUACUGGAAACGGUAGCUAAUACCUCAUAACGUCGCAAGACCAAAAGGGGGGACCUUCGUGCCUCUUGCCAGCGUAGGUUCCCAGAUGGGAUUAGCUAGUAGGGGGGGUAAGGGCUCACCUAGGCGACGAUCCCUAGCUGGUCUGAGAGGAUGACCAGCCACACUGGAACUGAGACACGGUCCAGACUCAUACGGGAGGCAGCAGUGGGGAAUAUUGCACCAUGGGCGGAAGCCUGAUGCAGCAAUGCCGCGUGUAUGAAGAAGGACUUCGGGUUGUAAAGUACUUUCAGCGGGGAGGAAGGGAGUAAAGUUAAUACCUUUGCUCAUUGACGUUACCCGCAGAAGAAGCACCGGCUAACUCCGUG
rnacentral:rRNA from 1 species